rnacentral:rRNA from 1 species
AAUGAACGCUGGCGGCGUGCCUAAUACAUGCAAGUCGAGCGAACAGACGAGGAGCUUUCUCCUCUGCCGUUGGCGACGGACGGGUGAGUAACACGUGGAUAACCUACCUCUAAUACUGGGAUAACUUCGGGAAACCGGAGCUAAUACCGGCUCAUAUAUUGAACCGCAUGGUUCAAUAGUGCAUGACGGUUUUGCUGUUUCUUAUAGAUGGUUCCGCGCUGCAUUAGUUAGUUGGUAAGGUCACAGCUUACCAAGGCAACGAUGCGUAGCCGACCUGAGAGGGUGAACGGGCCCACUGGAACUGGGACACGGUCCAGACUCCUACGGGGAGCAGCAGUAGGGAAACAUCGGCAAUGGGCGGAAGCCUUACGGAGCAACGCCGGGGGAGUGAAAGAGGUCUUCGGAGUGUAAAACUCUGUUAGUAGGGAAGAACAAGUGUGAAAUUAACUAUGCACGGCUUGACGGUACCUAAACAGAAAAGCACGGCUAACUUCGGU